rnacentral:rRNA from 1 species
CUACGUGCCAGCAGCCGCGGUAAUACGUAGGGUGCGAGCGUUAAUCGGAAUUACUGGGCGUAAAGCGGGCGCAGACGGUUACUUAAGCAGGAUGUGAAAUCCCCGGGCUCAACCUGGGAACUGCGUUCUGAACUGGGUGACUAGAGUGUGUCAGAGGGAGGUAGAAUUCCACGUGUAGCAGUGAGAUGCGUAGAGAUGUGGAGGAAUACCGAUGGCGAAGGCAGCCUCCUGGGAUAACACUGACGUUCAUGCCCGAAAGCGUGGGUAGCAAACAGGAUUAGAUACCCUGGUAGUCCACGCCCUAAACGAUGUCGAUUAGCUGUUGGGCAGCAUGACUGCUUAGUAGCGAAGCUAACGCGUGAAAUCGACCGCCUGGGGAGUACGGUCGCAAGAUUAAAACUCAAAGGAAUUGACGGGGACCCGCACAAGCGGUGGAUGAUGUGGAUUAAUUCGAUGCAACGCGAAGAACCUUACCUGGUCUUGACAU